rnacentral:rRNA from 1 species
UACGUAGGUGGCAAGCGUUGUCCGGAUUUACUGGGCGUAAAGAGCGCGCAGGCGGUCGUUUAAGUCGAAUGUGAAAGCCCCCGGCUCAACUGGGGGAGGGUCGUCGGGGACGGCGGGACUUGAGGGCGGUAGGGGCCGGUGGAAUCCCUGGUGUAGUGGUGAAAUGCGUAGAGAUCAGGGGGAACACCCGUGGCGAAGGCGGCCGGCUGGGCCGACCCUGACGCUGAGGCGCGAAGGCGUGGGGAGCGAACGGG